rnacentral:lncRNA from 1 species
AUGAGCCCGGCGCGGCGGCCGAGGCAGCCCGCUCUCCCGCGCUCCCGGAGCCCGAGCCGAGCGCGGAGCGUGGCGCGCAGGCCGAGCGCGCCGCCCGCGGGCCUCGCCGCCCGCGACUCUCGCCUCCGCCCCCACUCCGCUCCCCAACUUGGAGGGGACCCCGGGCUCGCCUCCGUACAAAGGGGCGCGGGCCGGGGGCGUCUGUGCCCCGGCAGGGAGGCGGCGGCGCCCUGCAGCCCCCAGCCCCGCCGCGGCGUCCCCCUCCCGUUCGCCUGCCCGCAAUUACCUGCCACCCCGUCUCCGCAUCCAACCACCCCGAUUAAAGUUCACUUUGGCCGGGAGAGCGGGCUCGGGCUUCCCCUUGCACCGCCCGGCGGUUCGGCUCACUUUGCCCCGCGCGAGCUCUCGGAUCCGGGCGGGGCAGGCGGCUCUCGGGCCUGGCCGCCCCUUCCUCCCGGGGCGGGCUGGCGGUCCCCCCGAAUAGAACUUGUGGGUCUCCUCAGGCGGACAUUUUUUUCGCUGAGGCGGCCUCAGCACCGCGCUCGGCUCGGCUCCGGAUCCCUCCGCGCCGGGAAGAGCCCCGAGUUAACCCCUUCGGCCCCGGCCCGCUCCCGCCGCCUGCGCCGAGGAAGUGGGGCCGGCGGAGGGGGCGGGGAGGAGUCGGCGCGAACGGGGAGGGGCCGCCGCGCGGCCGGUGGACAAAGCCCGCGGUGGGGUGAGGCGGGCCGGAGUCGGGCCGGCGGGGAGGGGCGGGCGACGCUCGCAGACACCCCGCGAGGCAGGGCCCGGCCGCCCGCCGAGAACGCCUCGUCCGGGCCCCCGGGAUCCGGGCGGCGGGCACUGAGGCGCGGCUUGGCCGGCUCCUGCCUCAGGCCGCGAAGCGAAGCGGCGGAGACGCAGCUGCAGACGCAUCUGGAUCGGCUGCCCGGGCCGCCCGGCCCGAAGCCGCAGAGCCCUGAAGGCUGCCGUUUCCGAGCCAGCCGCGCUGGACGCCGGCCGCCGCGUUCGGCCGGGACCGGAGGCUCCAGUCCCCGAGGCCGCGCAGCGCUCGGCGUGCGCGGGGAAGGGAGGCCCGGCCGCCUGGGUCCGCUCUGGGCGUAG